CCCAUGACAGACUCCACGUGGCAUGUCCCGGUGAUAGCCACGAUUUUGCUCCACUACUCUUCACAACAAACUCCUCCUGACUCUAGGCGGCCCGCUGCCGGACAGUUACAGACGUCGCUAUCAGUCUGUUGCCCCCUCCGCCUAUAAAAGGGGGACCCCAAAUACGUUAUUCUCUAAGCUCUAUUUUUUAUCCCAAAAUUC
rnacentral:lncRNA from 1 species